rnacentral:rRNA from 1 species
CGUUUAUUUGAUAGUGCCUUACUACUUGGAUAACCGUGGUAAUUCUAGAGCUAAUACAUGCUAAAAACCCCGACUUCGGAAGGGGUGUAUUUAUUAGAUACAAAACCAAUGCCCUUCGGGGCUCUUUGGUGAUUCAUGAUAACUAUACGAAUCGCACGGCCUUGCGCCGGCGAUGGUUCAUUCAAAUUUCUUCCCUAUCAACUUUCGAUGUUUGGGUAUUGGCCAAACAUGGUUGCAACGGGUAACGGAGGGUUAGGGCUCGACCCCGGAGAAGGAGCCUGAGAAACGGCUACUACAUCCAAGGAAGGCAGCAGGCGCGCAAAUUACCCAAUCCCGACUCGGGGAGGUAGUGACAAUAAAUACUGAUACAGGGCCCUUUCGGGCCUUGUAAUUGGAAUGAGUACAAUUUAAAUCCCUUAACGAGGAACAAUUGGAGGGCAAGUCUGGUGCCAGCAGCCGCGGUAAUUCCAGCUCCAAUAGCGUAUAUUAAAGUUGUUGUGGUUAAAAAGCUCGUAGUUGAACCUUGGGCCUGGCUGGCCGGUCCGCCUCACCGCGUGCACUGGUCCGGCCGGGCCUUUCCCUCUGUGGAACCCCAUACCCUUCACUGGGCGUGGCGGGGAAACAGGACAUUUACUUUGAAAAAAUUAGAGUGCUCCAGGCAGGCCUAUGCUCGAAUACAUUAGCAUGGAAUAAUAAAAUAGGACGCGCGGUUCUAUUUUGUUGGUUUAUAGGACCGCCGUAAUGAUUAAUAGGGACAGUCGGGGGCAUCAGUAUUCAAAUGUCAGAGGUGAAAUUCUUGGAUCAUUUGAAGACUAACUACUGCGAAAGCAUUUGCCAAGGAUGUUUUCAUUAAUCAGGAACGAAAGUUAGGGGAUCGAAGACGAUCAGAUACCGUCGUAGUCUUAACCAUAAACUAUGCCGACUAGGGAUCGGACGGUGUUAUUCAUGACCCGUUCGGCACCUUACGAGAAAUCAAAGUGCUUGGGCUCCAGGGGGAGUAUGGUCGCAAGGCUGAAACUUAAAGAAAUUGACGGAAGGGCACCACCAGGGGUGGAGCCUGCGGCUUAAUUUGACUCAACACGGGGAAACUCACCAGGUCCAGACACAAUAAGGAUUGACAGAUUGAGAGCUCUUUCUUGAUUUUGUGGGUGGUGGUGCAUGGCCGUUCUUAGUUGGUGGGGUGA